AACGAACGCUGGCGGCAUGCCUAACACAUGCAAGUCGAACGAGACCUUCGGGUCUAGUGGCGCACGGGUGCGUAACGCGUGGGAACCUGCCCUUAGGUUCGGAAUAACUCCCCGAAAGGGGUGCUAAUACCGGAUAAUGUCUUCGGACCAAAGAUUUAUCGCCUUUGGAUGGGCCCGCGUUGGAUUAGCUAGUUGGUAGGGUAAAAGCCUACCAAGGCGACGAUCCAUAGCUGGUCUGAGAGGAUGAUCAGCCACACUGGGACUGAGACACGGCCCAGACUCCUACGGGAGGCAGCAAUGGGGAAUAUUGGACAAUGGGCGGAAGCCUGAUCCAGCCAUGCCGCGUGAGUGAUGAAGGCCUUAGGGUUGUAAAGCUCUUUUACCCGGGAUGAUAAUGACAGUACCGGGAGAAUAAGCCCCGGCUAACUCCGUG
rnacentral:rRNA from 1 species